UACGGGGGGGGGCAAGCGUUGUUCGGAAUUAUUGGGCGUAAAGAGCUCGUAGGCGGUUUGUCGCGUCUGCUGUGAAAACCUAAGGCUCAACCUUGGGCUUGCAGUGGGUACGGGCAGACUAGAGUGCGGUAGGGGUGACUGGAAUUCCUGGUGUAGCGGUGGAAUGCGCAGAUAUCAGGAGGAACACCGAUGGCGAAGGCAGGUCACUGGGCCGCAACUGACGCGUGGAGGAGCGAAAGCCGUGGGGAGCGAACAGGG
rnacentral:rRNA from 1 species